rnacentral:rRNA from 1 species
GACGAACGCUGGCGGCGUGCUUAACACAUGCAAGUCGAACGGAAAGGCCUCUUUCUGGUGGUACUCGAAUGGCGAACGAGUGAGUAACACGUGAGUAACCUGCCCUUGACUUUGGGAUAACUUCAGGAAACUGGGGCUAAUACCGGAUAGGUGCUCCUGCUGCAUGGUGGGGGUUGGAAAGUUUCGGCGGUUGGGGAUGGGCUCGCGGCUUAUCAGCUUGUUUGUGGGGUAGUGGCUUACCAAGGCUUUGACGGGUAGCCGGCCUGAGAGGGUGACCGGCCACAAUGGGACUGAGAUACGGCCCAGACUGCUACGGGCGGCAGCAGUGGGGAAUAUUGCACAAUGGGGGGAAGCCUGAUGCGGCAGCGCCGUGUGCGGGAUGACGGCCUUCGGGUUGUGAACCGCUUUCGCUCAUGACGGAGCAUUGUGUGACGGUAGUGGGUAAAGAAGCACCGGCUAACUACGUG